rnacentral:rRNA from 1 species
UACGUAGGGUGCAAGCGUUGUCCGGAAUUAUUGGGCGUAAAGAGCUUGUAGGCGGUUUGUCGCGUCUGCUGUGAAAUUUCGGGGCUCAACCCCGAACUUGCAGUGGGUACGGGCAGACUAGAGUGUGGUAGGGGAGACUGGAAUUCCUGGUGUAGCGGUGAAAUGCGCAGAUAUCAGGAGGAACACCGAUGGCGAAGGCAGGUCUCUGGGCCAUAACUGACGCUGAGAAGCGAAAAGCAUGGGGAGCGAACAGG